ACACGGACGCGCGCUGGAAAGGCAGGGCGCGGAGGACGGCCGCGGCUGGGUGCGGCCCGGCGCCUGAGGGGCGGCCGGUUGGGUGGGGGUGGGGGGUGCGGCUGUCCAGGCCGGGAGGGGCGCGCGCGUGCGCGCGUGCCGGGGAGCAGGAGAGGCGCGCGGCCGCCUGCGCCGGAAGUGAGCGGUGGCCGCGGCGGGGAGCGCGCGGUCAGGCGCAAGUCGGUCCGCCCUUGGGCCGCGCGGCCCUCAGCCCCGCCCAGUGUGCCGGGGCAGGACGCGCGGGCUCUGUGAUCCGCGCCGCGGGGCUCUGCGGCCGCCCCGCCCAGUCCCCGCCGACGCCCGCUCUGUGGGUCGGUCAGUCAGUCGCCGAGCGCGCGCCGCGGGAGCUGCGGGCGCUCUCAGCGUUCGGGAGAGGAGCGUCGCCCCUGGAGAGGCGGCGGCGGCGGCGACUGGAGGCGCGAGCAGCUGCUGCCUAGCGCAGGGCUCCGGGAGGGCCGAGGGGCUGCCACGAUGGAGCAACUAUCCGAUGAAGAGAUUGACCAUGGUGCUGAAGAAGACAGCGACAAGGAAGAUCAGGACCUGGAUAAAAUGUUUGGGGCCUGGCUUGGAGAACUGGACAGGCUUACUCAGAGUUUGGAUUCUGACAAGCCCAAAGAACCAGUAAAAAGAUCUCCUCUUCGCCAGGAAACAAAUAUGGCCAACUUUUCUUACCGCUUCUCCAUAUACAACUUGAAUGAAGCUCUGAAUCAGGGUGAGACUGUGGACCUGGAUGCCCUGAUGGCUGACCUCUGCUCUAUAGAGCAGGAGCUCAGCAGCAUUGGCUCAGGAAAUAGUAAGCGUCAAGUCACAGAACCAAAAGUUCCUCAGAAGCUACCUGCUGGCCGACAUACGUCAAAACAUGGCACCCUGAGAGGACCGUCAUCUUCCUCUAAUAGAACAACUAAACCUUCCCAUGCUAACUACUCCCUGGAUGACAUCACUGCUCAGUUAGAACAGGCUUCCUUGAGCAUGGAUGAGGCUGCUCAGCAAUCUCUGGUAGAAGAUCCUAAGCCUUUAGUGACAAAUCAGCACAGAAGGACUGCAUCAGCAGGCACUGUGAGUGAUGCUGAAGCGCGCUCCAUCAGUAACUCCUCCCGGUCAAGCAUCACCUCUGCAGCCUCCAGCAUGGAUUCUCUGGAUAUUGAUAAAGUGACACGCCCUCAAGAGCUUGAUUUGACCACACACCAGGGGCAGCCAAUUACUGAGCAUGCUAUCUCUCUGAGCUGUCCCAGUAAGCAGGCCAAGCACCACUCUGACUUCACAGAAGAGCAGGCUGAGCUGACACCUCACUCCUAUCUGGACAGGGAAACCUCCCUUCUUCUGAGAAACAUUGCAGGAAAACCUUCCCAUUUGCUGACCAAGGAAGAACAGGCAGCAAAACUGAAAGCUGAGAAGAUCCGAGUUGCUCUGGAGAAAAUUAAAGAGGCUCAAGUGAAAAAGCUGGUAAUCAGGGUCCACAUGUCUGAUGACAGUUCUAAGACAAUGAUGGUGGAUGAGAGACAGACAGUGAGACAAGUGCUGGAUAACCUGAUGGACAAAUCUCACUGUGGCUACAGUUUAGACUGGUCGCUGGUGGAAACCAUUUCCGAGUUACAAAUGGAAAGAAUCUUUGAAGACCAUGAAAACUUGGUUGAAAAUCUUCUUAAUUGGACAAGAGACAGCCAAAAUAAGCUUAUAUUUAUGGAGCGUAUAGAAAAAUAUGCACUUUUUAAAAACCCCCAGAAUUAUCUUCUAGGGAAAAAGGAAACAGCUGAAAUGGCAGACAGAAACAAAGAAGUGCUGUUAGAGGAAUGUUUUUGUGGAAGUUCUGUAACUGUCCCAGAAAUUGAAGGAGUCCUUUGGUUAAAAGAUGAUGGCAAGAAGUCCUGGAAAAAGCGUUAUUUUCUCUUGCGAGCAUCUGGUAUCUACUAUGUCCCCAAAGGAAAAGCAAAGGUAUCUCGGGAUCUAGUGUGCUUUCUCCAGCUGGAUCAUGUAAAUGUAUACUAUGGACAGGACUAUCGGAACAAAUACAAAGCACCCACAGACUGCUGCCUGGCAUUAAAGCACCCACAGAUCCAGAAGAAGUCUCAGUAUAUCAAGUACCUUUGCUGUGAUGAUGCAAGGACCCUGCAUCAGUGGGUCAAUGGAAUCCGCAUUGCCAAGUAUGGGAAGCAGCUCUACACGAAUUACCAAGAAGCCUUGAAGAGGACAGAGUCCGCUUAUGAUUGGACUUCGUUAUCCAGCUCCAGCAUUAAAUCCGGAUCCAGUUCUUCCAGUAUCCCGGAGUCUCAGUCAAACCACUCUAAUCAGUCUGACAGCGGAGUGUCUGACACCCUGCCAACUGGACAUAUCCGUUCCCAAAGUACCGUGAGCUCCAUCUUCUCGGAAGCCUGGAAGCGAGGCACUCAGCUGGAAGAGUCCAGCAAGGCCAGAAUGGAGUCUAUGAAUCGGUCCUACACUUCACUUAUGCCCCCUCUGUCCCCUCAAACUAAGAUCAUCACCCCCUAUACUGCCUCACAACCUUCACCGCCUCUUCCUCCUCCUCCGCCACCACCUCCUCCUCCUCCACCUCCGCCACCACCACCUCCUCCUCCUCUUCCCAGCCAGUCUGCACCAUCUUCAGGCUCAGCAGCUACCAUGUUUGUCAAGUACAGCACAAUCACCAGGCUGCAAAAUGCAGCUCAGCAUUCAGGGACCCUGUUUAAGUCUCCAACACCACCAGCGAUGCAGCCUCUUCCUUUGGCUUCACAGUCCAAGGCUCAAAUUGUGGUGCCCCCCAAUGGAGUUAUUCCUCCACCCCCUCCUCCGCCACCACCCCCAACCCCUGGCUCAGCCAUGGCCCAGUUAAAGCCAGUGCCAUGUGCCCCAUCCCUACCACAGUUCAGCCCCCAACCUCCUCCACUGAAGAUUCACCAGGUUCAGCACCUUCCUCAGACAGCCCCUCCUACACCCCCACCAGCUCCUCCCAUCACUGCAACUGUCCCUCCUCAAGCACCCCCUAAACCUCUGGUGACCAUCCCUCCUUCAGCCAGCACAAAGACUGUGUCACCAGUAGUAGCACAAGCUGUACCACCAACCCCUGCACCUCCUGUGCCCCCUGCAAAGAAACAGCCAGUUUUCCCUGUUUCUCACAUUCCACCCACUCCCCCUGUGCAGCCUACCCCACAUCCCCCCCCUACACUACCCAAACAGCAGAGCUUUGGGGUAAAGCCACCCCCCUCUCCACUGUCCCCUGUGCCCUCCGUUGUGAAGCAGAUAGCCAGUCAGUUUCCACCCCCUCCCACUCCUCCUCCUGUGGACUCUCAGCCCCUAAAGUCCCUGCCAGCAAGUGGCACCCCACAGUCCCCUCCUGCAGUAAAAGCAAAACCCAAAUGGCAGCCCAGCUCAAUCCCUGUCCCUUCUCCAGAUUUCCCUCCUCCCCCUCCUGAAAGCAGCCUGGUGUUUCCUCCACCACCUCCUCCAGCCCCAGCCCCAGCCCCACCACCACCACCACCACCACCUCCACCACCGCCACCAGUGCCACCCACGGCUUCACCUACCCCUGACAAAGGUGGAUCUCCAGGCAAAAAGACAAGUAAGAUGUCCAGCCCUGGGGGAAAGAAACCACCCCCAACCCCGCAGCGCAACUCCAGCAUUAAGUCCGGCAGUUGUGCAGAGCACCCUGAGCCCAAGCGACCCUCGGUAGACAGUCUAGUCAGCAAGUUUGCACCGCCAGCAGAAUCAGGGUCUCCCAGCAAAGAGACCCCACCACCUCCUGCAGCACCCCCCAAACCUGGGAAACUACACCUUUCUGGAGUCAAUCUCCCUGGAAUCCACCAGCAAGGGAUUGUGUCGGCAAAAGCCUCUGUUCUGAGUGGGCGUGGAAAGGACGUUGUAGUGGAAUUUCCAUCGCCACCAUCUGAUUCUGACUUUCCACCCCCUCCACCUGAAAUAGAGCUUCCUCUGCCCCCUAUUGAGAUUCCAGCUGUAUUCUCGGGGAACACCUCCCCCAAAGUGGCAGUUGUUAAUCCUCAGCCACAGCUAUGGUCUAAAACAUCAGUGAAGAAGGCCCCCCCACCUACCCGGCCCAAACGCAAUGACAGCACCCGCCUCACUCAAGCUGACAUAUCUGAACAGCCAGCAAUGACCACAGUUGUGCCACAAGUGCCCACCUCUCCUAAAUCCAGCCUUAGCGUCCAACCUGGAUUCCUAGCUGAUCUUAACAGGACAUUGCAGCGCAAGUCUAUCACGCGGCAUGGCUCCCUGUCCUCCUCACGUAUGUCCAGAGCAGAACCCACCGCCACAAUGGACGACAUGGCACUACCCCCACCACCACCAGAACUGCUGUCUGACCAGCAGAAGGCUGGCUUUGGAGGUAGUCAUAUUUCGGGCUAUGCAACAUUGCGAAGAGGACCCCCUCCCGCUCCUCCUAAGAGAGACCAGAAUACUAAGCUCUCAAGAGACUGGUAGCCACAGACUUAUUUUCAUGCUAUCUAUAAUCAAUUCUACAAUCAGUUCAUCUGAUCAUCUGUGAAUCCAGGUGUUCAGAGCCUCCUGAUAUGUUAUUCAGAGGACCAGAGUUCAAUUCCCAGCACCCUCGUCGGGCAACUCAAAACCACCUAUAACUCCAGCUCCAAAGGAUCCAAUGUCCUCUUCUGGCCUCCAAGGCACCUGAACAUGUGUGGCAUACAUACACUUAAAUAAAUAAAAGUAGAUUUUUAAAGAACCUGGUUUUAAAGCUUGUUGUGUCAGAAUCUCCUGAACAGGUUACAUGCUGGAGGCUAAUUAACCACAGUUACCUUGGUGUGUCUUGCUUGUUUAUACCAACAGACUAGAGAUGAGGAAGUGGUAAGGGCGGCAAGUAAAGGUGUUUGCCAACCAGCCUGACCUUCACAUGGAUAAGAGAGCCAAUUCUCAGAGGCUGCCCCCUGCAUGUGCACACAAACACAAUAAAUUUAAUAGUAGUAAUAGGUUUUGGUUUUUCAUUUUUGUAGAUUAGAAAUUUAUUUGUAUUAGCUGGGCAGUGGUGGCACAUAUUUAAGAAAAAAAACCACAUAUCUUGGCCAUAUAGCUAGGCUUUUCUCUGACUAGAUCAUAACUUAAAAUAAACCUAUUUAUUUUAACCUAUUUUCUGCCCAUGGCUGGUUACCUAUAUUCAGGUACCAUGCUUCUGUCUCCUUACAUUUUCCUGGGCGGAGCUUCCUGUGCCUUGCUGGCUCUAUCCCAGAAUGCUUUCUCUCUCUUGGAUGUCUCACCUCUUAGUUCUUGCCUAAGCCUUAAGCUUUCUAAUGGACAAGUGGUGUAGCCAUACAAUACACAAAUACAAUAGAUAUUCUCUCUACAAUCUUUAUGGUGUGGGCAUGCAGUCAACAUUUAAUUAGCAGUUAUGAGCUCAUCUCGCAAGAAAUAUUGGUAGAGCCUCUAUGAUUUUUCUAUUUGACCUCGAGUGUUUUAGUUUAGCUUGCACAUACACGGAACUGUCUUUAGUUUCAGCCUCUGUACAGCAGUCACUCAUGCAUCUGAAUUUAGGUCACCCUUAGCAUUAUAUCAAAUAAAACACUGAAAGUGAUCCCACAGUUCAGAAAUAUACUCUGCAUGAAGAAGAAAAAAAAAAAAAAACAAAUAUAUCAACUAAUAUAGUCCUCAGUUCCAGAUGGGUGUGUGUGUAUACACACAUAUAUAUACAUAUAUAUAUUUAUAUAUAUAUAUAUUCAUAUCUUCUGAAUAUCUUUAAAACAUCUGCAUCUCCAAAAACAUAAGUUCAUUGCUGAUAUUGUCCUGUGUGCAAUCCUCAAAGGCUUAUAGACUUCAUUUUAAAACUUCAUCAUAUAUGUAUUUAUAAAAUUUAUCUGACUGCCAAGUGUUACAAAAGCAGUAAUUCUGACAAGUUCAUAUAUGCCUACAUAUAAUUCAUAACACGAUUACAUUCACUAUCCGGAUAUAAAUAUGAACACACACACACUGAUUUAGAAAUACAAUUAUGUAUUAGGAUUGCCAUAUCAAAUGGAUACACUUAGUUUCAGGUUACACAUUUCCUUACCAUUUACCAUCAAACUAUAAUAAAACAAAAAGUUAUUCACCAUCUGUCGUCAGUGUUUGACCCUGGCUCUGAAAAAAGUACACAGUAGACUCAGAAUGACAGGACAGUGAAACAGAUGGCACCCUCCCAAUCUCCAACACCUCAAUGUGUGAAUCCAAACCCUAAUUAAUAAAAACAAAAGGCUGGAGUCCCAUUUAUUUUUAGACACCAGAAUACUCAUGACAAAAAGACCCUUUUAUUUACAGAGAAAUCCUUUUCUUGAAAACAUUUCUUUAAAAUGUGUUUUAGUUGAGUUUUCCAGUUUCCACAUUAUGUGUCAUGGAAGUGACAAAGGCACUGAAGAACAAUGGGCUUGUAAGGCAGCAAGAACUGUAGUAUCCUCACUCUGGAGAUAAACUGCACAUCACUCAAAUCACUAGAGAACUUCUAUAGUCAUUUUUUCUGGAAUCUUAACCCACACUUUGUUUUAAAACCCCAUUCCAAUGAUGGAAAAUUUUACACUUAACAAAAUUUAGUUAUAUCUGGAAAAAGCCGUGUUCAUAACUAAAAUGAGAAGCUGUCUUUAAAACAAAAUAUUUCAGAGACCAAACUUGCAAGAAGUCCAACAGUAUUUGAAUUUUUUAAAUGUUACGUAACUGAACAGUACAUCAAUGCUUAGAACCACCUUAGAAAGAAGUAGUAAAUAUAUAAAUGAUUCUACAAGACACUGCAAUAUACUUCGUGUGAUUUUUAUUUGGGUCAAGUUCUUAGUACACAGCAGUAAUUAUUCCGAAUACAAUUUAAAAAUUAAGUGACUGUCCCUCAUUCAUCUGGAGGUGCUUAAUGGCGCACACAAGGAAUGUUACUGACAACAGUUGUCUGCUCAAGUUGCCUGAAUGGUUUUUUACUCAGUACCACCAACUCUCUGGGAACCCUUAGUGUAACUGCCAGAUCAUAAAUUGUUUACAUUCUUUUUGUAAACCAUUUUAUUAAGAAAAAAAGGUAUAGGACAUAAAAUAUGAUUAAAAACUGCUUUCCCAUAGAUUUCUGAACUUGCGAAAGAGGCUUCACUUUAAUGUGAAAAUAAUCCUUUUUUUACAAAAAAAUUAACAUAUUUUGCAAGGUCAUUUACACAGCUAGGCCCUGUCAUUUGUUGAUUUUUUUUAAAUAGAGAUUCUCAAUAAAACAAAGAGCAUAAAGUAAAUUUAGAUAGCCAGCUCAAUGUCUUCAUUUAGUAACUUUGUAAGGCUCUCGUAAGUAAGGCUGUGUACUUUGUUGUGCUCCAUUCUGUUCCUGCCAGCAUAGAACUAAAUACAAUGCAUUCUUGCUACACACAGCUUUAUAGAAAGGUAUUUAUGAAUUAAGUUUUAGAAGGGGUGAAUGCAGGUUGCACUUGAAUUCCUUUAAGCAAUCUGAAUACUUUGAUGGUUAUUAAUCAGAACAUGGCAUAUUUUUUCAAGUAUAAUCCUGAAUACAGAUAGAACUCUAUUUCUAAAGAAAAGUACAGCACGCUUAGUUACAACAGUUGGUCCGGUGGAGAGAGAACCGAGCACUGAGUCAAGAACUAACUAGCUGCUUAUCUAAAACACAGCAUCACUCAGGUGAGACCGGGACAAACAUUGUUAAAGCUUAUUAGUUCAAAAAUUCUGAUUCCAAGUAAAUGGUGUUAGGGAAACAUCAAGUCACCUUCGGGAGGAGUUUCUGGCCAAAGCUAUUCAUAAGUAAACAGCUCCCAUUCAUUUCAAAGAUUUGGAAGUCUACCAACCAUUUCUUCCACCAAAGCCCUUUGCAGGCGUAAAGGCGGCCUUCGGGAGACACCAUGUUCUCCAUGAGGAGAAAAGAGUAAAGCAAGCUGUACUGCAGAAAGGUGACCUUAAAAGAAAAUGAGAACUGAAAGAUAAAAGCAAGCUAUCAUUUUGAUGUCCCACACGUAAGAAUCAUCUUUAAUCAACAUAAAACUGUUAACGAGGCAACUACAUGGUAGACAUCAUUUGUAAAGAUGCAUAAACCAGUCUCUAGCCAGGCAAUAUAAACAGCAGUAGUACUGGUAAGGAAAGGAGGGGGUAAAAAUUGUCACCCAGUGACUUAAGAAUAGCAAACUCAGCAGUCCUGUGCUAAUCCCUAGAUGAGGACAAGUACCUCUCAGGAAGACAGAAGUAGCCAAAAGGAAAAUACUGUAGGAGACAUCUUUAAAAAUUCAUAUUUAUUCCAAACACAGCAGGCUGAAAUCUUGGGUCUAGAUUUCAAAAUAUUGGCACUAUUUUUGUUUCUAAUUUGCCUUGGCUAUAAGAUCAAACACAAGAAUGUAUUUUCACUCAGAUCCUUGGACCUUCAAAUAUUAACAGCAAAAAAAGAGACAUGUCCAGUCUUUUCUUUUUUUUUUUUUUAAGGGUAAAGGAACUGUGCACAGAAUCAGACAUUUCAGGAUAGACCAGAGCCCUCAGUACCUGUGUCUUGGUAAAGUGGUUGCAUUCUGGUCAGCAAAGUUUCAACAUUUGUUUAAAAUUCCUAAUAUCAACCAUAUUUUAGUUUAUGGGCAAAUAAAUGGGAAAAUUUACAAUAAAACAGGAAAUAACCUCACAGUAUUAACAGCAUGCAAUCUAUAAAAUAUUACAUACAUUAAAAGUCUCCGAUUACUGUAGGCCUGGCUCAUUGUUACAGAGUAUCCUUCCAAAACAAUUCAUAGAAUCCAAAAUUGAAAAAAUUUAAGAUUGGGGGAAAAGGCCAACAUAGAGUAUUUUGUGUUUCGUUUUUAAACCCUAUUAGUACUCAAUAAUACAAGGGGGAGGGAGUCAUCUGUCCCAUGGAUUACCCCCAGUGCAAGUCUUCAGCACAAAGGAUUUCACAAGUGUUUUCUGCAAACCCCAACUCAGCAGGAGUCCAGAAGAUAAACUGUAUUCCUGGUGCCUACCACCAGUUGUUUCUAUGACUACAAAAGCUAGUUGUUUGCUGGGUUUCCAAACGUCUUAUUAGUCAACUAAGCUUGUUCAACAAAAGGCUACUUAAAUAAAUAAUUAGUGCAACUAUUUUUCAAAAGUUUCCAUGUACCAAUACAAUCAGAGUUAAACGUUCAUAUACAGUCUUGCUUGGGUCCAUAAUGGAACUAAAGGUUCAGAGGACUUCAGGGAUAUAUUCUGAAGACAGUCAAGAUGACCUAACAAAUCCAUGAAGUGGAACGUGUGCUAGAAGCAAGUUAAAGAAUCCAAAGCAUCUAAAAAAACUCUAAAAGUGUGAGCCGGGCGGUGGUGGCGCACGCCUUUAGUCCCAGCACUCGGCAGGCAGAGGCAGGUGGAUUUCUGAGUUUGAGGCCAGCCUGGUCUACAAAGUGAGUUCCAGGACAGCCUGGGCUAUACAGAGAAAGCCUAUCUCAAAAAAUCCAAAAAAAAACAAAAAAAAACAAAAAACAAAAAAAACAAACCAUCUAAAAGCGUGAUAGCUGAUGUGCAAUGUGGUUUUAAAAUAAAAUUAAAACCAAAACAGCCUGCUGCUCCUGGUACAGUGGCUCCUCCUUACAAUCCUAGUAUUUGAGAGGCUAGAGCAGGAAGACACCAUGUCUGAAACAAACAAAACCUACAACCUUAAAGCAAAAGAGGUCUUGAGAAGAACACUGUCUGGGUCCGAGUUGCACAGUGAAGCCUCAGGUGCAGAUAGCGGAUCUACCAGUGGAGUGUCAGUGCCUUAUAGUCUGCUUUUCUUCACAUCUACAACGCUUGUUCUUCUAGCAUCACCAGACAGCAUGUACAAGGCCUGCAUCUGGAUUACAACAGCUUUACUUCCUCUUCGGUAGAUGAGGGAGAUGCCAAUAGUUUCAAAUACAUACUACUGAUUUUCCUCAGUGUGACUGGGCAAGUAUUUUAUUCUAUUAGUCUUCUCCAGCACACUCUUCACUCUGAAUCACAAAAUUCAGAAUAUUACUAGGAGUGCCACUUUAGAGUCUAAUCACUUCAGAUCAGGAGGAGACUUAUUUUUCUAUAGCUGAGAGAUUGAAAAUGACUUGGCAUCAGCUAACACUGCCAUUGAUAAUGGUCCAAGAGCAUGGUAGCAGCCUUUCAUUCCCAGUCCAGUGACUGUCAAGAGACUUGACAACACUAGUCUCUGCUAAAAAAUUAAAGGUGGGGUGGGGGGGUUGAAUAUCAAAAGAACAGUAAUAGCUGGUCUGACUUCCUGCUCUGAAACAGCCUAAGGCUGGAGAUCCUUAGGAACCUUCGUAUCCAACAAGCUCACCUCAGUACAUGAAGUACCUACACCACAUUUCACAUUGCUUUCACUGGCUGCUAUCAGCAAUGCAGUCUCAUGCAACAGUGCAUUAAAAUCAAACUGUUAACAACCCUGGGAAUAUUUGGAGACUUUCACAUUUUGUCAUCCUUAUAAUCUACAAACAGGACAGGGUGCAAGGGAGUUCAAGGUUAACUCACCUAGCGCACUCCAGUGCUAAGAGAACACAGGGUUUACAGUGUUAAAGAAGGAAAACAGCCUUAAGCAAUCAAAAAGCAGUUAAAUAAAGUAUUUAAACACUGGUUCCUUUCCUCUCCAUAUACUGAAAGUAAAGGGCAAGGGUGUCCACCAGGCCAUGAGGUUAGCCCCAAAGCAGAGGCAAUGAGCAUCCAAUGUCACAGAUUCUGCAGGAAGAGAAAUCCAAGGGUGUACAGUAUUCCUGAGAAAGAUCCCAGAUAUUUUUCCUCAAGUCAGUCUUGGUCUUACAUGUUUUAGCUACAUGUUCAUGUUGGUAUGCCUUUCAUGAUUGAGAAAUGGUCACAUUUUCAAUCUAGACAGCAUAAUGCAAAUGACAGCAAGAAGAUCCACUUGUUCAGACUUGGCUUUCAGUUUUUGAUACAAGGGGAUAAACCAAAACAGUAAUAAAAGGAGUAACUUCA